UUGAGUUUAAUGAAUAUUAUGAGUUUUAUUCGUCUUUCUUAAUCAUUUAUGGUUGUGGUGUGAUCUGCUCCUCGUUCCUCGCUUCCCUGUGGGUUGUUGUGUCAGUUUUGCUGCCCCACCAGGUCUGGAGAGUCCCUGCCUUGGAGCCAGCCACACCUGUGAUAAUCACUCACCUGUUGCUGAUCUGCCUAAUCAAGGGGCUCUACUUAAGAGAGCAGUGGAGCAACAGUCGGCACGGGAUUGUUAAACUAGAAAUACAGUUAGUGCGGUACUCGUGUUUUCAAUACUCUCUCGUUGGAAUGGUUAGCAUGUUUCGUCGGCCGGUGGAUGGGACUGUACUCAUUGUGGCAUCUCUUGUUUCCAGGAUGAUUACGGAGACGUGUGGAGGGAGCAGUACACAGUUGAACACAGGCACCGAGCAGGACGAAGCACAACCACGCAUCACGGAGAGGAAUCACGGCACAGGGAAUUAAUUGGGAAAGCACACACUGUGGACUGUUGGCACUGUUUUUUGUCACCUCCGUAUGUUGUGACCAGGAUGCAGCAGCAGACUGAACCUCGACUGAAACCUGCUCCAUCAUCUCAUCUUUGCAGAUGUCCAUUUAUAAAGCAUCAACAACUCAAAGGAGCCGUCCGCAGAUUCAGACCUCAGCACCACCCAGUGACAGCAGACAGAUCAUCCUGUAUCUUCAAUCUUUGUAGUAACUCCAAAAUUAACUGAUGAAAACAGUACAAAGGUUAAAGUACCACAUGUGCUGUCAGUGAAAGCUGCAGCUGUUUUAUUGAUAAAUUUAAAGACAAAAAGUCAAAAGGAUUAAUCACCCAUGUAACUGUGUCACUAUACAUCAGCAUUAACAGGACCUCAGUUUGGUGUUUCAGAAAACUGCUGAUCUCAGACCUGCACAACUUCUGUUUUAAACACUGAAUUUACUCAGCUACAUGAAGAGCAUGUGAUGUUUUCUCUGACACAAUUAAAUAAAACCUGAUUAAAGUCAAA